UACGUAGGGUGCGAGCGUUGUCCGGAAUUAUUGGGCGUAAAGGGAAUGUAGGUGGUGACGUAAGUCAGAUGUGAAAGCCCUGGGCUUAACCCGGGAAGUGCAUUUGAUACUGCGUCGCUAGAGUACGAGAGAGGAAAGCGGAAUUCCCAGUGUAGGAGUGAAAUCCGUAGAUAUUGGGAGGAAUACCGAUGGCGAAGGCAGCUUUCUGGUUCGUAACUGACACUGAGAUUCGAAAGCGUGGGUAGCAAACAGG
rnacentral:rRNA from 1 species